rnacentral:rRNA from 1 species
CCUACGGGUGGCAGCAGUGGGGAAUAUUGGACAAUGGGGGAAACCCUGAUCCAGCGACGCCGCGUGAGUGAAGAAGUAUUUCGGUACGUAAAGCUCUAUCAGCAGGAAAGAAAAUGACGGUACCUGACUAAGAAGCCCCGGCUCACUACGUGCCAGCAGCUGCGGUAUUCGUUAGGGGCAAAGGUUUUCCGGGUUUACUGGGGGUAAAGGGAGCGGUGAUGGCAGCGGAAGUUUGGAGGGAAAUGCCGGGGCCCAACCCCGGAACUGUUUUGGAAACUGGGAAGCUGGAGUGCAGGAGAGGUAAGCGGAAUUCCUGGUGUAGCGGUGAAAUGCGUAGAUAUCAGGAGGAACACCGGCGGCGAAGGCGGCUGACUGGACUGUAACUGACGUUGAGGCUCGAAGGCGUGGGGAGCAAACAGGAUUAGAUACCCGAGUAGUC